rnacentral:lncRNA from 1 species
GCCCUGGGAGGAGUCUCAGCCCCUUCCCUCUGCAGACAAGGGGAACAGCCCGGAGGAAGCUCGCCUGAGAUUGUUUCGAAAGUUCUGUGAAGUCAGCCAUUUCUGUCCAGUUUGGAUCUACAAAGCAAAUCUCACAGAAUAAAAUGCUUCUUAGAGGAGAUAGCUCCCAGCACCCCUCAGUGUUCCUGUGACCAGAGCAGGUCUUAGACGUGAUCGCCCAGUGGUCUCAUCAUAAGCAAAGCGACGCUCUUAUCUUACCCGACCCGAGCCUGCCUACUGCAGCCUACACAUUCCUGCAGACAUG